AGCGAACGCUGGCGGCAGGCUUAACACAUGCAAGUCGAGCGCCCCGCCAGGGGAGCGGCUGACGGGAGAGUAACACGUGGGAACAUACCUUUUGGUUCGGAACAACUGAGGGAAACUUCAGCUAAUACCGGAUAAGCCCUUACGGGGAAAGAUUUAUCGCCGAAAGAUUGGCCCGCGUCUGAUUAGCUAGUUGGUGAGGUAACGGCUCACCAAGGCGACGAUCAGUAGCUGGUCUGAGAGGAUGAUCAGCCUCACUGGGACUGAGACACGGCCCAGACUCCUACGGGAGGCAGCAGUGGGGAAUAUUGGACAAUGGGGGCAACCCUGAUCCAGCCAUGCCGCGUGAGUGAUGAAGGCCUUAGGGUUGUAAAGCUCUUUUGCCCGGGAAGAUAAUGACGGUACCGGGAGAAUAAGCCCCGGCUAACUUCGUG
rnacentral:rRNA from 1 species